CUUUCUUUUGCAACUUGUUUGUUUUCUGCCCUGGUAGUGAUAGAUUGCUGCAGGAACUGGAAGGGUCAAAGAAAAUGUGAAUUAGAGCCCUUACAACGUUAUAGGAGAGCCAUCUGAGUUGGAUACAGCUACUGUCUUUGCCAAAUGUCAACUUCAGACACCCCUUACUCAGAAGUCUUCUUCAAGCCCAGGCUAGUUCUUGGCAGUGAUACUGGGCUUGUUUCCCAAUUGUCCUGGACAAAGUGAAACAUCACCACUUGUUGCUGAAGCCAGCAGGAAAUUAAUUCUACUGUAAUGUAACCUUGUGACUUUAAAUGUAGUCUUUUAGCCACUAAACUUGUUUAGUUCUGAGAACAUUUAUCUUCUGCUUCUUUUAAAGAAGCUUUCUGACCCUCAAAGCUUUGUCGUCAUCUCAAACAUCAUCAUCAUCAUUUUCAAACAUGAAUGCAUGCCAAGGACCAGCCUCAACUUGGAGAAGGGUUCUGAGAGAAGGGAUGUUUGACAGCAGAGAAACAAAGGACUGGAAGUCAAAUUGUGGUGAGUUCAAGCUGAUAGCCUAUGUUCUACUCCAGAUGGUAACUGUAGUGGUUAUUCCUGGUUGUCAACUUGACUAUAUUUGGAAUGACUACAAUCCGGAAUUGGAAGGCUCACCAGUGACCCUUAUCUGGAGGAUUGGAUAUCCUUAUCUGGAUCUUGGUUUGAAGAUCUUAAGCCAUAGUGGCUA
rnacentral:lncRNA from 1 species